rnacentral:rRNA from 1 species
GACGAACGCUGGCGGCGUGCUUAACACAUGCAAGUCGAACGCUGAAGCUUGGUGCUUGCACUGGGUGGAUGAGUGGCGAACGGGUGAGUAAUACGUGAGUAACCUGCCCUUGACUCUGGGAUAAGCCUGGGAAACUGGGUCUAAUACUGGAUACGACAUGUCACCGCAUGGUGGUGUGUGGAAAGGGUUUUACUGGUUUUGGAUGGGCUCACGGCCUAUCAGCUUGUUGGUGGGGUAAUGGCUCACCAAGGCGACGACGGGUAGCCGGCCUGAGAGGGUGACCGGCCACACUGGGACUGAGACAACGCCCAGAAUCCUACGGGAGGGAGCAGGGGGGGAUAUUGCACCAUGGGCGGAAGGCUUAUGCAGCGACGCCGCGUGGGGGAUUAACGCCUUCGGGUUGUAAACCUCUUUCAGCACGGAAGAAGCGAAAGUGACGGUACGUGCAGAAGAAGCGCCGGCUAACUACGUG